UACAGAGGUCUCAAGCGUUGUUCGGAUUCAUUGGGCGUAAAGAGCGUGUAGGCGGCUCGGUAAGUCCGCUGUGAAAGUCCAGGGCUCAACCCUGGAAGGCCGGUGGAAACUGCCGGGCUAGAGUCCGGAAGAGGCGAGUGGAAUUCCCGGUGUAGCGGUGAAAUGCGCAGAUAUCGGGAGGAACACCAAUGGCGAAGGCAGCUCGCUGGGACGGUACUGACGCUGAGACGCGAAAGCGUGGGGAGCAAACAGG
rnacentral:rRNA from 1 species